rnacentral:rRNA from 1 species
AUUAUUGAAUAAACCUGAUGUGACUGUUAGCUGGCUUUUCGAAGCAUGUGCUCGUCCAUCAUCUUUAUCUCUCCACCUGUGCACAUUUUGUAGUCUUGGAUACCUCUCGAGGAAACUCGGAUUUUAGGAUCGCCGUGCUGUACAAGUCGGCUUUUCUUUCAUUUCCAAGACUAUGUUUUUAUAUACACCAAAGUAUGUUUAUAGAAUGUCAUCAAUGGGAACUUGUUUCCUAUAAAAUUAUACAACUUUCAGCAACGGAUCUCUUGGCUCUCGCAUCGAUGAAGAACGCAGCGAAAUGCGAUAAGUAAUGUGAAUUGCAGAAUUCAGUGAAUCAUCGAAUCUUUGAACGCACCUUGCGCUCCUUGGUAUUCCGAGGAGCAUGCCUGUUUGAGUGUCAUUAAAUUCUCAACCUUCCAACUUUUAUUAGCUUGGUUAGGCUUGGAUGUGGGGGUUGCGGGCUUCAUCACUGAGGUCGGCUCUCCUUAAAUGCAUUAGCGGAACUUUUGUGGACCGUCUAUUGGUGUGAUAAUUAUCUACGCCGUGGAUGUGAAGCAGCUUUAUGAAGUUCUGCUUCUAACCGUCCAUUGACUUGGACAAUUUUGACAAUUUGACCUCAAAUCAGGUAGGACUACCCGCUGAACUUAAGCAUAUCAAUAAGCGGAGGAA